GAUGAACGCUGGCGGCGUGCCUAAUACAUGCAAGUCGAGCGAACAGAUAAGGCGCUUGCUCCUUUGACGUUAGCGGCGGACGGGUGAGUAACACGAGGAUAACCUCCCUAUCAGUCUGGGAUAACUUCGGGAAACCGGAGCUAAUACCGGAUAACCUACUGAACCGUAUGGUUCAUUAGUGAAAGGCGGCUUUGCUGUCACUUCUAGAUGGAUCCGCGCCGUAUUAGCUAGUUGGUAAGGUAACGGCUUACCACGGCAACGAUACGUAGCCGACCUGACAGGGUGGUAGGCGACAUGAGAACGUAGCCACGGUCCAGGGUCCUACGGUAGGGAGCAGAAGGGAACGUGCCGCAAUGGUGGGAAACAUGGCGGAGCAGCGCCGCGUGAGAGGUGACGGUCUUCGGAUCGUAAUAACCUCUUAUCGGUUGAGAACAAAUGUGGAAUGAGCUGUGGAGAUCUUGACGGUAACUGGUAAGAAAGCCACGGCUAACUACGUG
rnacentral:rRNA from 1 species